rnacentral:rRNA from 1 species
AGUGAACGCUGGCGGUAGGCCUAACACAUGCAAGUCGAACGGCAGCACAGUAAGAGCUUGCUCUUACGGGUGGCGAGUGGCGGACGGGUGAGGAAUACAUCGGAAUCUACUUUUUCGUGGGGGAUAACGUAGGGAAACUUACGCUAAUACCGCAUACGACCUACGGGUGAAAGCAGGGGAUCUUCGGACCUUGCGCGAUUGAAUGAGCCGAUGUCGGAUUAGCUAGUUGGCGGGGUAAAGGCCCACCAAGGCGACGAUCCGUAGCUGGUCUGAGAGGAUGAUCAGCCACACUGGAACUGAGACACGGUCCAGACUCCUACGGGAGGCAGCAGUGGGGAAUAUUGGACAAUGGGCGCAAGCCUGAUCCAGCCAUACCGCGUGGGUGAAGAAGGCCUUCGGGUUGUAAAGCCCUUUUGUUGGGAAAGAAAGGCAGCAGGUUAAUACCCCGCUGUUCUGACGGUACCCAAAGAGUAAGCACCGGCUAACUUCGUG